GACGAACGCUGGCGGCGUGCCUAAUACAUGCAAGUCGAGCGAAGUUUUUCUGGUGCUUGCACUAGAAACACUUAGCGGCGAACGGGUGAGUAACACGUAAAGAACCUGCCUCAUAGACUGGGACAACUAUUGGAAACGAUAGCUAAUACCGGAUAACAGUAUUUCUCGCAUGAGGGAUAUUUAAAAGUUGGUUAUGCUAACACUAUGAGAUGGCUUUGCGGUGCAUUAGCUAGUUGGUGGGGUAAAGGCCCACCAAGGCGACGAUGCAUAGCCGACCUGAGAGGGUGAUCGGCCACACUGGGACUGAGACACGGCCCAGACUCCUACGGGAGGCAGCAGUAGGGAAUCUUCCGCAAUGGGCGAAAGCCUGACGGAGCAACGCCGCGUGAGUGAAGAAGGAUUUCGGUUCGUAAAGCUCUGUUGUUAGGGAAGAAUGGAUAUGUAGUAACUAUACAUGUAAGAGACGGUACCUAACCAGAAAGCCACGGCUAACUACGUG
rnacentral:rRNA from 1 species